UCUGUAAACAGCAAUGGGCCUUGGUAAUACAAAUGAAUCAAAUCCAGCAGGCCUAGCAAGUCACAAAUUCUGAAAUGAAUCAAGACGUAGAAGAGGCUGCAGGUCACAUUAAGACACUCAGACCAGAGUCUGCACUACACAGCUGUGUGACCAUGAAGAAUGACCAGGACGUGGAUGAUCCUGGAAACAUGAGCAGCACAUCAACACAGACCAAUGCAGGACGACACACACACAGACCUCCAUCUCCAGUGCCCAGCUGUGUGUCCAUGA